rnacentral:rRNA from 1 species
GACAGAGGUGCCAAGCGUUAGGCGGAAUCACUGGGCUUAAAGCGUGUGUAGGCGGAUCGUUAAGUACCUUGUGAAAUCCCACGGCUCAACCGUGGAACUGCUGGGUAUACUGGCGAUCUUGAGCCACCUAGGGGCGAGCGGAACAAGCGGUGGAGCGGUGAAAUGCGUAGAUAUCGGGAAGAACACCAGUGGCGAAAGCGCUCUACUGGGCCAUAACUGACACUGAGGGACGAAAGCUAGGGGAGCGAAAGGG